rnacentral:tRNA from 1 species
GUUUCUGUAGUUGAAUAACAACGGCGUUUCUUCAAGUCGUUAGUCUCGGUUAAAAUCUGAGCGGAAACC